rnacentral:rRNA from 1 species
GAUGAACGCUGGCGGCGUGCCUAAUACAUGCAAGUCGAGCGAACGGACGAGAAGCUUGCGUCUCUGAGGUUAGCGGGGGACGGACGAGUAACACGUGGAUAACCUACCUAUAAGACUGGGAGAACAUCGGGAAACCGGAUCUACUACCGGAGAAUAUUAUGAACGGCAGGGAUCAAAAGUGAAACACGGUCUGGCCGACAGUUUGAGAUGGAUCCGGGCUGGAUUAGCUUCGUGGUAAGGGAACGGCCUACCAAGGCCACGAAGCAGAGCCGAACUGAGAGGGGGGUCAGCCACACUGGAACUGAGACACGGUCCAGACCCCCACGGGAGGCCGCAGUGGGGAAUAUUGGACAAUGGGGGCAAGCCUGAUCCAGCCAUACCGCGUGGGUGAAGAAGGCCUUCGGGUUGUAAAACCCUUUUGUUGGGAAAGAAAAACAGCUGUUUAAUACCCCGCUGUUCUGACGGUACCCAAAGAAGAAGCCCCGGCUAACUUCGUG